rnacentral:rRNA from 1 species
GGAUCCCAUCCGAACUCCGAAGUUAAGCGGCGCAAGGCCCGGAUAGUACUGGGGUGGGGGACCGCCCGGGAAGUCCUUAGGGUGCUGCUGGC